ensembl:lncRNA
CCCAGGUUCCAGAUUUAUUUACAAACACCCUGACCAGCCCCCUCAGCCUUCUCCUGUUAUCUGCUUUAUGCUCCUUUGGAUCUCUCCGCCAGGAGUCUGGGGCGGAUUAACACAAGAUAGGAACUAGAUCCAAUCUAAUCAAGGGGACCUAAUCAACCCAUCCUUCCUCCCCCACUCCUCCUUCUCAGAACAAACCCACGUCCUGCCUCUACACAACUUUUCAUGGGAAUUGGCAUCUGAUAAUUAAUAAUUCUUUCUGACUUUGCAGGAGCAGUGUCAACCUCUGACCUACUUCACAGAAAGAGGUAAAGCUCUGCACUAAGCAACUCAGGAGACCUAAAAGAAGAGGACACCUGAUCAGGGACCAUCAUCUCCACCAGAUGGGCCAUUAAGAUUAGUGAGACAAGUUGUAGAUACUAUCCCCAUUCAGGAAGUAAAACCAUGAGAAUUCGGAUUCCUCUGAUUAGCAAACAGCUGAUUCACAAAUAAGAGAGAGACACAUGCACGUCCUUGCACAAGAAAAGAGAUUCUUCACCUUCUGCCAUCGUAUUGUCA